rnacentral:rRNA from 1 species
AACGAACGCUUGGCGGCAGGCUUAACACAUGCAAGUCGAACGCCCCGCAAGGGGAGUGGCAGACGGGUGAGUAACGCGUGGGAACAUACCCUUUCCUGCGGAAUAGCUCUGGGAAACUGGAAUUAAUACCGCAUACGCCCUACGGGGGAAAGAUUUAUCGGGGAAGGAUUGGCCCGCGUUGGAUUAGCUAGUUGGUGGGGUAAAGGCCUACCAAGGCGACGAUCCAUAGCUGGUCUGAGAGGAUGAUCAGCCACAUUGGGACUGAGACACGGCCCAAACUCCUACGGGAGGCAGCAGUGGGGAAUAUUGGACAAUGGGCGCAAGCCUGAUCCAGCCCAUGCCCGCGUGAGUGAUGAAGGCCUUAGGGUUGUAAAGCUCUUUCACCGAUGAAGAUAAUGACGGUAGUCGGAGAAGAA